UAAUACGAAGGGACCUAGCGUAGUUCGGAAUUACUGGGCUUAAAGAGUUCGUAGGUGGUUGAAAAAGUUGGUGGUGAAAUCCCAGAGCUUAACUCUGGAACUGCCAUCAAAACUUUUCAGCUAGAGUAUGAUAGAGGAAAGCAGAAUUUCUAGUGUAGAGGUGAAAUUCGUAGAUAUUAGAAAGAAUACCAAUUGCGAAGGCAGCUUUCUGGAUCAUUACUGACACUGAGGAACGAAAGCAUGGGUAGCGAAGAGGAUUAGAUACCCUCGUAGUCCAUGCCGUAAACGAUGUGUGUUAGACGUUGGAAAUUUAUUUUCAGUGUCGCAGCGAAAGCGAUAAACACACCGCCUGGGGAGUACGACCGCAAGGUUAAAACUCAAAUGAAUUGACGGGGACCCGCACAAGUAGUGGAGCAUGUGGUUUAAUUCGAAGAUACGCGCAGAACCUUACCAACACUUGACAUGUUCGUCGCGACUCUAAGAGAUUAGAGUUUUCGGUUCGGCCGGACGAAACACAGGUGCUGCAUGGCUGUCGUCAGCUCGUGUCGUGAGAUGUUGGGUUAAGUCCCGCAACGAGCGCAACCCUCACUUUUAGUUGCCAUCAUUUAGUUGGGCACUCUGAAAGAACUGCCAGUGAUAAGCUGGAGGAAGGUGGGGAUGACGUCAAGUCCUCAUGGCCCUUACGUGUUGGGCUACACACGUGCUACAAUGGCAUCUACAACAGGAAGCAAAACGGCAACGUUAAGCAAAUCCCGAAAAGAUGCCUCAGUUCGGAUUGCACUCUGCAACUCGAGUGCAUGAAGCUGGAAUUACUAGUAAUCGUGGAUCAGCGUGCCACGGUGAAUGCGUUCCCGGGUCUUGUACACACCGCCCGUCACACCAUGGGAGUUGGUUCUACCUUAAGGCAAGGUUUUAAACCCUUGACCACGGUAUAGUCAGCGACUGGGGUGAAGU
rnacentral:rRNA from 1 species